UGGCAGUAAAAAUAGUUACUAAUUCCUAAAAUUAUUAUAUAAAUAUUGUAGAAUCAUGUAUCCUAAAAUCAUCAUAUGGUUGAUAGUCUUAAGAUAAUUUUUGUAGCAUUUUUAUUAAUAAUCCUUGCUUUCUUCUUAUCUAAUUUAAAUAUUUAUUUAUUAUAUUUAAUAUGUAUUAUUAAAUUUUUAUUAAUCUUUAUUUUAUAUUUUGAUUUUAGAUAUAAAAUACAUAAUUUAAAUAUAAAUUAUGAUAAACUAAUAAUUUUAAAAUAUAAUAUAAAUUAUAAAGAUAUAAGAUUGAUUUUAAUAUGUUAUAUAAUUAUAACCCAUCUUAUGUUUCAAAUAUAUGUUUACAGUUUUAUGGAGAUUUUAUUAAGUGAAAAUCUUUUAUUUAUUUUUUGUAAUGUUUUAACUUUAUGGUUUCUACAAAAAUUCUCUAUAUCUUUUAAUGAUAAUUUAUAAAUUUGAAGCUGAAUCUAAAAACCUAUUAAAGGAUUUCAAUUCAAAAGUUAACUCAAAUAAUUCCAUAAUGGCUAAUUCCUAUAUAAAAAAAUAUUUUAACUUUGUUAAAAGGUUAAUAUUUGUAUUUUCAGAAAAUACUAAAUAUUAUAGUAUGAUGUUUUUGUUAUCCUCCUUCCUAAUGGCAAAUUAUGGUAGUCACCUCACAUUAACUACAAUUUGUACUCCUAAACAACUUUUUGGCUACUUUUUAUAUCCAAAUGAUUGUUCAAACCUUUCUUCAAAUUUAGAAUUCUCAAUCCCUUUGAGUUUAGCAAUCUCAUAUAUAAUAGACUCCUCGUUCUCCGCCUUACUAAUAGUGCAAUGGAUGAAAUUGACUUUUGUUAGAAAAUAAAACGCUGAAUGAUUUUGUUCUGUUUUACAAAGAAAUUAAAAUUUUAUAGACAUGUUAGGUUAUUCGCAUUUAUAAAUUUAU